rnacentral:rRNA from 1 species
CCUACGGUGAGCAGCAGUCGAGAAUCAUUCACAAUGGGGGAAACCCUGAUGGUGCGACGCCGCGUGGGGGAAUGAAGGUCUUCGGAUUGUAAACCCCUGUCAUGUGGGAGCAAAUUAAAAAGAUAGUACCACAAGAGGAAGAGACGGCUAACUCUGUGCCAGCAGCCGCGGUAAUACAGAGGUCUCAAGCGUUGUUCGGAAUCACUGGGCGUAAAGCGUGCGUAGGCUGUUUCGUAAGUCGUGUGUGAGAGGCGCGGGCUCAACCCGCGGACGGCACAUGAUACUGCGAGACUAGAGUAAUGGAGGGGGAACCGGAAUUCUCGGUGUAGCAGUGAAAUGCGUAGAUAUCGAGAGGAACACUCGUGGCGAAGGCGGGUUCCUGGACAUUAACUGACGCUGAGGCACGAAGGCCAGGGGAGCGAAAGGGAUUAGAUACCCUGGUAGUC